rnacentral:rRNA from 1 species
UACAGAGGGGGCAAGCGUUGUUCGGAAUUACUGGGCGUAAAGGGCGCGUAGGCGGCCUGUUAAGUCGAGCGUGAAAUCCCUGGGCUCAACCCAGGAACUGCGUCCGAUACUGGCAGGCUUGAAUUCGGGAGAGGGAUGCGGAAUUCCAGGUGUAGCGGUGAAAUGCGUAGAUAUCGAGAGGAACACCUGCGGCGAAGGCGGGUUGCUGGGCCGACACUGACGCUGAGGCGCGAAAGCCAGGGGAGCGAACGGG